rnacentral:rRNA from 1 species
UACGUAGGGUGCGAGCGUUGUCCGGAAUUAUUGGGCGUAAAGAGCUCGUAGGCGGUGUGUCACGUCGUUCGUGAAAACCUGCAGCUUAACUGUGGGCGUGCGGUCGAUACGGGCAGGCUAGAGUUCGGUAGGGGAGACUGGAAUUCCUGGUGUAGCGGUGAAAUGCGCAGAUAUCAGGAGGAACACCGGUGGCGAAGGCAGGUCUCUGGGCCGAUACUGACGCUGAGGAGCGAAAGCGUGGGGAGCGAACAGG